ensembl:lncRNA
CAUUCCUGUGCAUUCAGGCAGGAGCGAACUUCUCUACGGCAUAAAGCUGUGAAAAUGGCUGGGCCUAAUGGGGCGACGUGAGAUAAGAUCCCCUUAGACCUCUCCUAUCCUCGGAUUGCAGCCUCUGGGGUGCUGGUGCAUGCUAGACUCUCCGCUCACCCACACUCGGAUGAACUAGACAGACGCAAGAUUAUUCCAAGAUGACUGAGAAGUUCACUCUGAAGUACAAAAGGUUGGAUGGACUCAUGCCGCCAAUAUUCCACAGGAAUGAAGAGGAAUAUUUGCCAAGGUGGCUUUCAGAUGCCCAUCGUGGCAGAACAAGUAAUGACAACAAAAGCCUGGAGCUACAAGGCGCCAUCACAUAGAACCUGAGAAUGAAGCAAUAACUGCAGAAAGGGGAACCAAUAGACGGAGAGAAUCUGAGUCCUGAGGUCAUUGGCUGAGACGCUGAUCAAGCUGAACCUGAAGCCGGUGCUUCCCCUGGACUUUCAGGUACAUGAGCCAAGAAUUUCCCUUUAGUCUGAAGCCAGUUUGACUUGGGAUUUUUUCCAUCUCUUGCAGUGGGAAGGAUACUAAGUGACUCCAAAAAUUAUUGACUAGACGCUAAGGACUAAAGUGGAAACCUUUAUUAAUUAGAUAUGCAGAUAAAAAGGCCCAUCUUCAGAUCUGUUGUCAUUAGAGAAUUAUUUUAUACAUGGCCACAGAGCCAUUUUACAAAUGAGGAUUCAGCCUUGCCGAGGUAAACUGCUUAACCAGGAUACAUAGCAGAAUCUGAGUAAGUCCUUGGCUCUGUGUAACCCUGAAUUUGAUCCUUUCUUCCUCAAAUCAUCAUACCUUUUAUAAGAUAUUUAAUAUGUGAAAGAUCUUAUUCUAAGUAUUUUGCAAAUAAUAACUCACUUAAUCUUCACAACUAUCCUAUGGGUAGGUACUGUUUAUUAUUCCCAUUUUACAGAUGAGGAAACUGAGGUGUAAAGAGAUUAACUUGUCCAAGGUCACACAGCUUGUAAGUAACAGAGGCAAGACUUGGACACAGGCACACUGGCUGCAGAGGCCAUGCUCUUAAGCCGUGCACUGGACUGCCUCUAGUAAAUUUUUUUUUAUUUUGAGGAAGAUUAGCCCCGAGCUAACAUCUGCUGCCAAACCUCCUCUUUUUUUUGCUGAGGAAAACUGGCCUUGAGCUAACAUCCACGCCCAUGUUCCUCUACUUUAUAUGUGGGAUGCCUGCCACAGCAUGGCUUGACAAGCGGUGCGUAGGUCCACACCGGGAUCCAAAACAGCAGACCCUGUGCUGCCAAAGCGGAAUGUGCAAACUUAACUGCUGUGCCACUGGGCCAGCCCCAACCUCUAGUAAAUUAAAAUUAACCUACCAUCAGCCUUUGAUCAGAAUUCCAUUGGUCUUUCAUUCAGAGGCACUGCCCUUUUCUGAACUUUUAUUCAUUAUAAAAAUAAAAAGCAAACAAAAACUGCAAAUGUUUUCUAUAUUCUAUAAGCUCUUCAGUUAUGUAAGAAUUUUUAUCUAGCUAAUUUCAGAGUCAUAAACUUUUGAGCUUCUUACAGCUCUCGUUUGCCCUUCUCAAUACACAGUGCAAGUAAGGACUACUGGCAGCAAAAGUCUUAUUUUAUGCCUUCCUGUGAUGGAAAAACUAGGUGAGUGCUCUGCCGUGUUAAUUUUUAACUGAUAUUUAAUGAUAUAGUAAUUGAUAUUUAAUAUUAUAAUCUAGUAUGAAAUUUUACCUUUCAUAUCAGUCAACUAACAAAAAACAUGAAAGACCUGGAAUUUAACAGCCCACUUAUAGAAACAAAAUAUACACAUAUUAAAAGUAACAUAAAUCAGUGUUGUCUGAUUUCUUUUCUUUUCUUUUUUUUUUGGGUGAGGAAGAUUGGCCCUGAGCUAACAUCUGUGCCAACCCUCCUCUAUGUUUUAUGAGGGAUACUGCUACAGCAUGGCUUGACCAGGGGUGUAUAGGUCUGCACCUGGGAUCCGGAUCGUGGAUCCCAGGCCAAUGAGGCAGAGUGAGUGAACUCAACCACUAUGCCACCGGGCCGGCCCCUUCUCUGAUUUCUUGAAAUCACAAGACGUGUGAACUGCUUCAGAAGCUCUGAAAUGCGACUUGAAUGUAACCUCCUGUAUUCUUCUACAUUUUCACAUACAUUAUCUGAGUUGAUCCUUUCCUAAGCCGUGUGGUUGGGCAGGGAUUAUCAGGUGAAUAGACACUGUCGUUUUUAAGGCAGUACCAUGGAAAGCCUUCAUUUCUAUGUGGGAGAGUGACACGGUCUUUUAGAAAGUCAGCUGGCGGAUGCAUCUAGGAUGGUUGUGGGGGGGAUUGUAGACAGGGAGAGCCGUUUAGGAGGCUGCUCUUACAAAUACCUUAAAUAUAUUUCCUCUAUAAAUAUAGGGAGUCUGUACCACCUGGACUGAAGACUGACUUGGAUCUCGGGGCCAACAGAACUUUGUUCCAAGUUCCAAGGCCAUCGUUGGAAUCAGUGGGUCAUUAACAGCGCACUAGAGGGCACUGAGCUAAAGGUGGUGGCAGAUGCAUGGCAUGUGCGUGCUGGAGGGUAGGAGUGUGGGUGGAGGAACUGAUGGUGGAACCUGCACGAAUUAUUCUGGGCAAGUCUGCUCAGUCUUCAAAUGAUGGAGGUGGGUCACAGCCGGUCUGCUCGUGAUCCCUCAUGGCAGAAGGUGGCCUGGUACCCACAGGAGGCUAGGGGACAGAGCUCAGCAGCCCCUUCCAGUUUUAUUUUUUGAAUUCUUGUGGAAUUUGCAUUUCACACCCUAACAAAGGGUGUGCCUCCUUGGGGAUUCAUGAAAACUUGACAAGAAAUCAGCAUUGUCCCCAUCAAACCUAGGCCCCACUUUUCCAAGCUCUCAUUUCCAGGUUUCCUCUUCCGUGGCUUUGCGUGGUUUCAUAUUUAUCUCGUAAGGAAUCAGUCAGUGUGGCCACUAACUCCCUUCAAACUCAGUACAAACCAGUUCCUCUCCUGCACAGGUCCCUGCACAUAUGGAAGCGCACAGGGGCACGGUUUGGGUAAGUUGCAUGCAUUUUGGUUGGGGGUUUUCCUGCAGUCAAUGGUCUGCCCUCACCCUGUGCAAUGCGGCAGGAAUGUGAGGCCUGAGAGGCAAGGAGGGCAGAGCUGCUGGGGAGGGAGCGGCUUCACAGCCGGCAGGGAGGUGAGGGCCUCACAAGUAACAGCAGGUUUCCUCCGCCUUUGCUGCCCAUUCAUGCUCCAAGAGGAAGAAAAGAAACAAGGGAAAACUUUCAUUCGCCCUCAGAUUAUUUUAUUCCAACUUGGAGAGAGAAGGCCUGGAUUUGAGCCCUGUUUCUGCCACUUCUGAGUUGUUUGAACUUGAUAGUGAGCUGAUCUGUUACCGCAGCUGUGAAGGGAGCUCCAGUAAUGUCUUUCCUGUCUCAUUCACAGGAUUAUUGGGAGAAUGCAUGAGUCAAUGGCUACGGAAAAUGCUGCACACCUACUCUGUGAAGAGGGAAGCGCCAAGAACAACUGCCACUUUCAUUUGGGGUCAGGAUUCUUGAUUCCUGCUAUCUGUUGACGUCUAUAAUCUUGGUGUUAUGCUUACAAGGGAGAGCCUCAAGCGGUAUUAAGUAUAUUAUUUUAAGAAUGAUGUGGCUUCUGGCAUCAUAUUUUGAAAAUCAAAGAUUGUAAUUUUAGGGAUAAUGGAAUACUCAAAAGGGAGUAUUCUGUAAAGCUGAGGGUGUAUGGUCAGCAGAGAGAUAUUCUUUACAAACAGUGGACUACGAGUUAGGAGAUGGCCUCAAGUCCCUCCCCCGUCAGUGAUCUUGAGCCAUUGUGGCAACACAUUCUGGGCCUCGUCCCCCCCCCAUCUGUAAAAUGGGGGUGUUUGACUCAUUGUUUCUUAACUGGGGUGAAUUCUGGAGUCACCUGGGAAGAUCCCCAAAGGCAGAAUUCUGGUUUUGUUUCUUGCUGUGUUUCUAAGGCAUAGAAAAGUACUUGGCACAGGGUAAAUACUCAAUAAAUAUUUUUUUAAUGAAGAAAUAAAACUUUUAAAAAAUUCACAGAGCAGGAUCCAGUCCAGAAAGCUCACAUCGUAUGGGCUAGAAACUGUACAUACAUUUUGUAAAAGCCCUCUGGAUCAUUUUGCCAAGCACUCUGGGCUUAAGAACCACUAAACCCAACAAUCCCCAAGGUUCCUUCCCUGAAGAAUUGUCAGAUUUAGCAAAGAAAAAUGUAAGACAUCCAGUUAAAUUUGAAUUUCAGAUAAACAAUGAAAAUGUUUUAGUCUAAAUAUGUACCAUGCACUAUUUGGUUGUCGCAAAACUUGUAGAAAGAUGACUAGGUAAGGCUUCUGCUUAGGCUGAUGGUUAGAGGCAGAGGGUGGCACCUUGAAACUGGCCCAGAUUUGGGAAUCAGACAGAUAAUCUUGGUCUGAGUCUCUGCCCUGAUUGUGUGAUCUGAACAAAUUGCUCAACUUCACUGGGCUUCGUAACUCGAGUGUCUAUCCUGUAGAGCUGCUGAAAGUAUUGGAGAUAUUACAGGAAUGAUGGUAGCAGGUAUCUGAUAACGUUUAGCUGUUUUUACUGUUGGUUUGAAGAAAGAAAGUCAGUAUCAAUGAGACCUUUGUUGACACACUGUCAACUAGCAAACUGGCAUUCUGAAAUGACCAAGAUUAUAGGUAAUAGUUCUGGGCAGACCUGGGCAAAGUUAGAGGGAACGCUGAUCUUCUUUAGAACAAUACCUCUAUGUGUGGGGGAACAAAACAUACUAAAAAUUAAUAGAUUAUCCAGAAUAAAUAAAGGAAGGAAGUUCUUUCGUUUCAUUCAUUAUAAAAUGUCAUUUGCUCAACUGACUUUUUCUAAUGUCAAAGGUAAACAUUUGUUCAGGUUUUACAGGGUCACUAUACAGAGGGAUAGACUAUUAUUUGGGCAGUGGAAGUACUUCAAUCCUAACCUUGUUUCCCUCUCUUCUAGGUUAAAGACACAGUCUGUUUCUAGAGCUUCUGUUGUUUCUAGAAAUUUCUAACGCAUUUCUUCUGUUUAAAAAAUACACAUGCAACAAAUAUGAAAUAUUCAUUAAAAGGAAACGGUUCUCUCUAGAAAAAUCUAUUUGGACAAAAAUCUUUAGAUAAUUUCAUUAUCAAAUGUGAAGAGCUACGGCUGGAAAAUAAAUUGACCAUUACAUUUUCAACUGAGCUACUCGGAUAUCAACUGCAUACUUUAAGCCCCCUGUUGUUAUUUCGUUGUCUAUCCACCACAUAUUUAUUGUUGAGCCUGUAUUAUAUACUGGAGACUGUUCUAAGUGCUUGGGAUCCUUAGUGAACAAAACAGACCCAAAUCCUUGCCUCUGUGGAGCUUGUCUUCUGGGAUAGAGAGAGAAACAGAAGCACCCUAGAUAAGUGAGUUAAGUAGGAUACAGAUGGCGCAAUCUGUUGGUGAUGGAAGGAGCCGUGCUGAUCUGGGGGAUGAGAAGAGGGGCGUCAAGCACAAAUGACCUAAGGCAGGAGCCUGCCUGGAGUGUUCCAAGAAUAGCAAGGAGGCCAAUGUGGCUGCAGUGGAGAGAGGACAGAGGGAGUAGAAGGAGAGAAGACCAAGUAACUAUUAUCCUAAUCAUGAUAAAGGACUCCACGAAUCUAACUUCCAGUUUUGAGUUUUAGUUUACUUACUCUGUGACUACAGGGAGAUCCUGAACUGCUUACCUGGAAUGGUGGUCCUUAACUUGUAAAACAUGGGUAGGUUAGAGAUUUACUUCACAAAACUAUGACUAGAGGGAAUCAGUAUAUAGCUUAGUGAUGAUGUAUGUGCUUUAAUGGAUGGAUCUGAGUUCACAGUCUGACUUCCUUACUUGCUAGAGGUGUGCCCUUGGGCAAGUUCCUUCAACUCUCUGUGCUUCAAGUUCCAUCUCUAUGAAAUAAGGCAACUAAAAUUACCCCCUUUCAAACUGUGAGGGUUAGAGGAGAGGGUCUGUGUAAAAUGCUUAGCACAGAGCUUGGCACAUAGAAAGUACUAAAUAAAUAUCAUCAUUAUUUCUUGAAAAGUAUAAUUAGGAGGAUUAGGUACUUUGAAAUAUCUAUUUAAUAUUUAAUAUCAAAACAUGUUUUCAGUAAAAGUGUCUUAUUAUUGUUAUUACUAGUGGUAGCGAGCCUCCAAGAUGAUCCCCAAUGAUCCCUGUCUCUGAGUAUUCACACCCUUGUAUAGUCCCCUCCCACAUUGUACCAGGAUUGGUCUAUGUGACCAUAGAAUAUGGCAGAAGUGAUGGUAUGUCACUUUUGAGAUUAAGUUAUAAAAGACACUGUGGCUACCAUCUUAGUCAUUCAUUCUCUCUCUCAAUCAUCACUUGUUCUGGGGGAAGCCAGCUGCCAUGUCAUGAGCAGCCCUAGGGAGAGGUAUCCCUUAUGGAGAAGUCCACGUGACAAGGAACUGAGGCUUUUUGCCAACACCAUGUGCGUUAGGGCCUCCUUGGAAGUGAACCCACUAGCCUUGGUCAAGUCUUCAGAUGAAAGCAGCCCUCACUGACGUCUCGACUGCCGCUUCAUGAGACCCUGAGGCAGAACUAUGCAGCUAAGCAGAUCCCAGAUUCCUGCCCCUCAGAAACUGUGAGAUGAUAAAUGUUUGUUGUCUCAAACUUCUAAGUUUUGGGGUAAUUUGUUUAUGCAGCAAUAAAUAACUAAUACAAUAGUUUACAU